UACGGAGGAUGCGAGCGUUAUCCGGAUUUAUUGGGUUUAAAGGGUGCGUAGGCGGAUCGUUAAGUCAGUGGUCAAAUUGAGGAGCUCAACCCCUUCCCGCCAUUGAAACUGGCGCUCUUGAGUGGAAGAGAAGUAUGCGGAAUGCGUGGUGUAGCGGUGAAAUGCAUAGAUAUCACGCAGAACCCUGAUUGCGAAGGCAGCAUGCCGGCUUCCGACUGACGCUGAGGCACGAAAGCGUGGGGAUCGAACAGG
rnacentral:rRNA from 1 species